AUUUCAUCCGUACGGGGAAGGAUGAGAAGCUUCGACUAAGGUUCGAUUCGAGCGCAGCGAGAAAGCGUUGCCGCAGGCAACGACCCGAAGGGUGAGGAGCGGAGCGACGAAUAAUCCUUCCCCCACCACCA
rnacentral:sRNA from 2 species